ACGGUGCCGUUCUCCUGGGUGUUGCCAUUUCACUUCGGAGUUUAGCCGCUUUCCUUCCCGCUUCGGCACGUCGCCUCUCUUCCUCCAGUCGUCGUCGACGCCACCUGGUCCGGCGGUCGCCGCCGCCGCCUCCCUUACUCUAUCCAUCUUCAUUGUUGUCAGGGUCCUGAGUUAAUCUGCUUUGCAUCCCUACUGAGAGAAAAUGCAAUUCUUUGGGGGAUCAGAAAUCAGUCCAUCACCACCUGCUCCAACGGCAGCAGGAAACAAUGCCCAUAUGAUGUAUAUUUUCAAUAGAAAUGGGGUAUGCUUGCUAUAUAGGGAGUGGAAUCGUCCCCUUCGGACAUUGAAUGCUCAACAAGACCACAAAUUAAUGUUUGGUCUGCUAUUCUCCCUUAAGUCGUUAACUGCCAAGAUGGAUCCGACUAGUGCAGAGAAAGGAAAUCUUGGAGUUCCUCAGUUACCUGGCCAAGGUUGUUCCUUUCAUAGUUUUCGCACCAAUACAUACAAACUUAGUUUCAUGGAAACUCCUUCUGGAAUAAAGAUUAUCUUGGUGACUCAUCCUAGGACUGGUGAUCUGCGAGAAUCACUGAAAUACAUCUACAACUUGUAUGUCGAAUAUGUAGUAAAAAAUCCGCUCUAUGCACCAGGUUGUCCAGUUAGUUGGAAACACCAAAUGCAUUUGAGAUGAACAGAGUUGAACAGAUAUAAGGCACGGGUCUGUUUACGAAUGUCGUUAGUGUAAUGAGUGAAAUCAUUUGCUUUCUGCUGUUGGUCUGAUCUAUUCAAUACAACGUUGGACCAGUAUGUGAGAGGCAUCGCAUAGAGGUUGGAAUGUCGCUCUCACCCAACGCCUUUGGCACAUGUUGGCCAGUGUGUGUGAUCUGGUCAAUUGGUGCAAAUGCUUUCAUUGAAUUUCAAAUUUGGGAAGAUUGAUAAUCUCAUUUGUGUUAAUGGGUGAACGUAUGCUUAGUAGAAUUGUAUCCUGGGGUUUUGUGCUUAAUUUCUCCAGCAUCUAUUUUUGUUAUUCGAAUUCUGUUUGGCUGCUACACCCUAGUAAUAGUUAUCACUUUGGACAACAUAUUGAGGACAAUUCACUAUAUUGUGAAGAUACGAAGUUAAAGAUAUUCCUAGAUUAGGGACAGGAGGCCGACGGAAGAGAAUGGAUUUCGGUCAAUUACUAUCUGCCAUAAAUACAAGAUAUAUAACAUAUAUUUUGGGU